CCCUCCUACGGGACGCAGCAGUGAGGAAUAUUGGUCAAUGGGCUUACGCCUGAACCAGCCAAGUCGCGUGAGGGAAGACUGCCCUAUGGGUUGUAAACUUCUUUUGUCAGGGAGCAACGUCGGCUACGUGUAGCCGGACUGAGAGUACCUGAAGAAAAAGCAUCGGCUAAUUCCGUGCCAGCAGCCGCGGUAAUACGGAGGAUGCGAGCGUUAUCCAGAUUUAUUGGGUUUAAAGGGUGCG
rnacentral:rRNA from 1 species